rnacentral:lncRNA from 1 species
GAAGUCCGGACCACAGAGUUCAGUGGGGUUCUCCACCAGGAAGGUUCCGCAACUAUGCCCCUCUCAAUGCAUCGAAAAUCCAAGUGCUAAUGGAGGUCUGGGAGCAGCUACCAAGGCUGGAAAGGAUGCGCACACACCCUGGAAAGCGUAAUCCUAACAAGUUCUGCCUCUACCAUCGUGACCACGGCCACGAUACAGAGGAGUGCAUUCAGCUCCGGGAUGAGAUCGAGGAGCUCAUCAGACGAGGUCGGCUCGACAGGUUCAUUCGACGCCAACCUGAAGGCAGAGAGGAUCGGCCAAGGGCCCUACCGCAACCUGAACCGCUGAGGAGGGAAGAGCAGCCCGGGGAUCGGCCUCCAAUCGGGAUCAUCAACUCCAUCACCGGAGGACCUCAAGGAGGAGCAGACCUUCCAAGACCAUGGGAC